rnacentral:rRNA from 1 species
UGGGGAAUAUUGCACAAUGGGCGCAAGCCUGAUGCAGCCAUGCCGCGUGUAUGAAGAAGGCCUUCGGGUUGUAAAGUACUUUCAGCGGGGAGGAAGGGAGUAAAGUUAAUACCUUUGCUCAUUGACGUUACCCGCAGAAGAAGCACCGGCUAACUCCGUGCCAGCAGCCGCGGUAAUACGGAGGGUGCAAGCGUUAAUCGGAAUUACUGGGCGUAAAGCGCACGCAGGCGGUUUGUUAAGUCAGAUGUGAAAUCCCCGGGCUCAACCUGGGAACUGCAUCUGAUACUGGCAAGCUUGAGUCUCGUAGAGGGGGGUAGAAUUCCAGGUGUAGCGGUGAAAUGCGUAGAGAUCUGGAGGAAUACCGGUGGCGAAGGCGGCCCCCUGGACGAAGACUGACGCUCAGGUGCGAAAGCGUGGGCAGCAAACAGG